GUGCCUCAGAUACCCAGUGCUAGUUUCAGCAUCUUUGUUCUCUCCAUUGAAAAUGCUGAAAAAAUGUUUAUUUUUAUUUCACAACAUUUUUAGAUAACGAUUUCAAUGAAAUUUUACCUAGUUAAACUAUUUGCUAUGGAUUUGGAUUAUUGCAUUGGUCAGUUAAUAAUCAUUACACACUCUCCCCAACAGGUGAUUCACUUGACAAGUGCACUGGAUAACGGACAACAGCAUUGACUCCAGAAGACAAACUGUUAUCAGAGGCUUAAUAAUCUUCCUUGGUAAAAA